AGUGAACGCUGGCGGCAGGCCUAACACAUGCCAGUCGAACGGCAGCACAGUAAGAGCUUGCUCUUACGGGUGGCGAGUGGCGGACGGGUGAGGAAUACAUCGGAAUCUACUUUUUCGUGGGGGAUAACGUAGGGAAACUUACGCUAAUACCGCAUACGACGUACGGGUGAAAGCAGGGGAUCUUCGGACCUUGCGUGAUUGAAUGAGCCGAUGUCGGAUUAGCUAGUUGGCGGGGUAAAGGCCCACCAAGGCGACGAUCCGUAGCUGGUCUGAGAGGAUGAUCAGCCACACUGGAACUGAGACACGGUCCAGACUCCUACGGGAGGCAGCAGUGGGGAAUAUUGGACAAUGGGCGCAAGCCUGAUCCAGCCAUACCGCGUGGGUGAAGAAGGCCUUCGGGUUGUAAAGCCCUUUUGCUGGGAAAGAAAAGCAGCAGGUUAAUACCCCGCUGUUCUGACGGUACCCAAAGAAUAAGCACCGGCUAACUUCGUG
rnacentral:rRNA from 1 species